AUGCUAGCUUCAGCAGCACAUAUACUAGAACUGGAACAAAACAGAGAAGAUUAAUAUGGCCUCUGUAAAAGGACAACAUGCAAAUUCAUGAAGUGUUGCAUAUGUUU
ensembl:snRNA U6 U6 spliceosomal RNA